ensembl:snoRNA U8 U8 small nucleolar RNA
ACAUCAGUGAGGUACAUCCUUACCUGUUGCUCUUUCGAGAGCUGCAGAACAUGAUGAAUGGAUUGGGAUGAUAAAGUGAUUAACUAAAUCCCCUUCUAGAAGGUCUGCAACACCUUCUAGAAACCAUUCUGAC